UACGUAGGGUGCGAGCGUUAAUCGGAAUUACUGGGCGUAAAGCGUGCGCAGGCGGUUCGUUGUGUCGGCGGUGAAAUCCCCGGGCUCAACCUGGGAAUGGCCGUUGAAACUGGCGAACUGGAGUGUGGCAGAGGGAAGUGGAAUUCCCGGUGUAGUGGUGAAAUGCGUAGAUAUCGGGAGGAACACCAGUGGCGAAGGCGACUUCCUGGCCUGUUCUUGACGCUGAGGCGCGAAAGCUAGGGUAGCAAACGGG
rnacentral:rRNA from 1 species